rnacentral:rRNA from 1 species
CAGUAGCGGCGAGCGAACGGGGAGGAGCCCAGAGCCUGAAUCAGUGUGUGUGUUAGUGGAAGCGUCUGGAAAGGCGCGCGAUACAGGGUGACAGCCCCGUACACAAAAAUGCACAUGCUGUGAGCUCGAUGAGUAGGGCGGGACACGUGGUAUCCUGUCUGAAUAUGGGGGGACCAUCCUCCAAGGCUAAAUACUCCUGACUGACCGAUAGUGAACCAGUACCGUGAGGGAAAGGCGAAAAGAACCCCGGCGAGGGGAGUGAAAAAGAACCUGAAACCGUGUACGUACAAGCAGUGGGAGCACAGAGCAAUCUGUGUGACUGCGUACCUUUUGUAUAAUGGGUCAGCGACUUAUAUUCUGUAGCAAGGUUAACCGAAUAGGGGAGCC